rnacentral:misc_RNA from 1 species
ACCCUUGUGGAGGAGGACGCCGAAGGUGGGGCUAAUGACUGGGGUGAAGUCGUAACAAGGUAGCCGUACCGGAAGGUGCGGCUGGAUCACCUCCUAACAGGGAGACAACAAAAUGUUUAAUAUUAUUAUUUUGUCACCUUAGGUCGAUCGGUAUCUCACGUUCUUAAUUUAUUAAGGAUUUCAUUUCCUAAGUUUUUCUAGGUCACACCCAUUAUUUUUCCUGGGCCAUUAGCUCAGGUGGUUAGAGCGCACCCCUGAUAAGGGUGAGGUCCCUGGUUCAAGUCCAGGAUGGCCCAUAUCUCUAUGUUGGGGGUAUAGCUCAGUUGGUAGAGCGCCUGCUUUGCAAGCAGGAUGUCAGCGGUUCGAGUCCGCUUACCUCCACUGAUUACCACCUCUUUCAUAAUCUGUAGAAAGGGAAUUUUUUGAGUCGUGACCAAAUUCUGAAAGAAUCUAGCUUCCUAAUGAAAGCAUUAAGAUGCUGGACUCAUUGAAUUAAUUUCAUUGUUUUCAGAGAACCUUGACAACUGCAUAGAUUAUUUUUUUUUAAAGACAAUAAGCAUCUUUAAUGAUGCAGAUUUAUUAUUUGUGCGAAUGCAUUAAUAACAAUUCUAUUAAGCUGAUGCUUCAAUUUUUGAAGUUAUUGGUCAAGCUACAAAGGGCUCACGGAGGAUACCUAGGCACACA